GGUCUCAUGGUGUAAUGGUUAGCACUCUGGACUUUGAAUCCAGCGAUCCGAGUUCAUGUCUCGGUGAGACCA
rnacentral:tRNA from 1 species